rnacentral:SRP_RNA from 1 species
UGGCUGUCAUGGUCACAAACUUAAGAAGGCCCACUCCUACAACUUUGCAUCUGCCCUCUCCUCGCCCCUUGUGGUGAGCUUGGAUAUGCGUGCCUCAUCCGAAGUUGGGGGUCGUCCAUCGUACUCGUCUGGGCAACCGAUGAAUGCUACGGGGCGUUAAGCAAUGGAGAUGAUACUUGAGGGAAGCAAUUCUGCAGAGGCAUUUCCACCCUGAGCUGGCGGUGUGAGAUUACACCGGUCCGAGAUGUGGGCAGUUCGAGUUGGUUUGGUGGUGUCAACUUUUU